GAUGAACGCUCGCUACAGGCUUAACACAUGCAAGUCGAGGGGAAACGCCAUCGAAAGCUUGCUUUUGAUGGGCGUCGACCGGCGCACGGGUGAGUAACGCGUAUCCAACCUGCCCAUCACUUGGGAAUAACCUUGCGAAAGUAAGACUAAUACCCAAUGACAUCCCCCGAAUUCAUCUGAAUGGGAUGAAAGAUCUAUCGGUGAUGGAUGGGGAUGCGUCUGAUUAGCUUGUUGGCAGGGUAACGGCCCACCAAGGCAACGAUCAGUAGGGGUUCUGAGAGUAAGCUACCCUAGAUGUGAACUGAGGCCCAGACCAAAAUCCUACGGGGGGCAGCAGUGAGUAAUACUGGGCAAUGGGCGAGAGCCGGAACCAGCCAAGUAGCGUGCAGAAGGCCUGCGCUAUGAGUGGUAAACUGCUUUUAUAAGGGAAUAAAGUGAGUCUCGGGAGACUUUUUGCAUGUACCUUAUGAAUAAGGACCGGCUAAUUCCGUG
rnacentral:rRNA from 1 species